rnacentral:rRNA from 1 species
GACGAACGCUGGCGGCGUGCUUAACACAUGCAAGUCGAACGGAAAGGCCCUGCUUUUGUGGGGUGCUCGAGUGGCGAACGGGUGAGUAACACGUGAGUAACCUGCCCUUGACUUUGGGAUAACUUCAGGAAACUGGGGCUAAUACCGGAUAGGAGCUCCUGCUGCAUGGUGGGGGUUGGAAAGUUUCGGCGGUUGGGGAUGGACUCGCGGCUUAUCAGCUUGUUGGUGGGGUAGUGGCUUACCAAGGCUUUGACGGGUAGCCGGCCUGGGAGGGUGACCGGCCCAAUGGGGAUGGGAAACCGGCCCGACCCCUCCCGGGGGGUAAGGGGGGGGAAUAUUGCCAAGUGGGGGAAGGCUCGAUGCGGCACCGCCGCUGGCGGGUGGCGGCCUUUCGGUUUUUAAACCGCUUUCCCCUGUAGCGAAGGGGGGGGGCCGGAAAGGGGAAAAGAAGCCCCGGCAAACUACGG